ACUCCUACGGGAGGCAGCAGUGGGGAAUAUUGCACAAUGGGCGCAAGCCUGAUGCAGCCAUGCCGCGUGUGGUGAAGAAGGCCUUCGGGUUGUAAAGCACUUUCAGUCGUGAGGAAGGUAGUGUAGUUAAUAGCUCGAUUAUUUGACGUUAGCGACAGAAGAAGCAACCCGGGCAAGUUCCGCCAGCAGCCGCGGUAAUACGGAGGGUGCGAGCGUUAAUCGGAAUUACUGGGCGU
rnacentral:rRNA from 1 species